AACGGAUCUCUUGGUUCUGGCAUCGAUGAAGAACGCAGCGAAAUGCGAUAAGUAAUGUGAAUUGCAGAAUUUAGUGAAUCAUCGAAUCUUUGAACGCACAUUGCACCCCCUGGUAUUCCGGGGGGUAUGCCUGUUCGAGCGUCAUU
rnacentral:rRNA from 1 species